UGGGGCUGCUAGCAGCGAGUGCUCGGUCAUCUCUCGGAUGGCACUCGUCUCCUCAACCCUGAUGGAGUUGCUCGAACCAUGGCUCCCAGUCAACAGCAAAGGAGAUGACCGAGCUGUGGGGAUGAGGACAGGCACGAGCUGGAGAACGGGAGGUAGGAAAGCUCUGAUUGGAGAGGGCAAGCACCACCAGAUCGAUGAUGCGGGCCAAGGAUUGGGCAAGGAGAUAGGCGCGGUAUGACCAGCAGAACUGCAGAACUGCAGACACAGGGAAGUGGGGGCGAGCCUAGAUCGCUGCUGCAGACACAGGGUACAGGCGGCGAGUGCUUCACCACGGUUUCAUCCUGAAAUGGUAGACGGGUCCUGGUGACGUUUUUUUUAGUAGGAGAGAUUGUCUUAUCAUACGAUCCAUGUAUUUUUAAAGUUUAGCUGUUCC
rnacentral:lncRNA from 1 species